rnacentral:lncRNA from 1 species
GGCCGAGGCAUCCUACCGAGACCGCCAAGGCUAUUAAAAUUCACAUUUCACAUAAAUCAUGUUUUUGUUUUGAAAACAUAGUCGUUCCUUGGCGUUGGCUGAGUUCCCCCUCACGUGGUGGUUUAGCGUGAAGUGAACCCUAAACUUUACUCCAGGAGAUACCCUACGCGCCUCUCCGUUCGAGGUAAGAAUAUAAUGGGAUUUACCG